CAGACGGGUGAGUAAUGUCUGGGAAACUGCCUGAUGGAGGGGGAUAACUACUGGAAACGGUAGCUAAUACCGCAUAACGUCGCAAGACCAAAGAGGGGGACCUUAGGGCCUCUUGCCAUCGGAUGUGCCCAGAUGGGAUUAGCUAGUAGGUGGGGUAACGGCUCACCUAGGCGACGAUCCCUAGCUGGUCUGAGAGGAUGACCAGCCACACUGGAACUGAGACACGGUCCAG
rnacentral:rRNA from 1 species